rnacentral:rRNA from 1 species
GCAUAUCAAUAAGCGGAGGAAAAGAAACUAACAAGGAUUCCCCUAGUAACUGCGAGUGAAGCGGGAAAAGCUCAAAUUUAAAAUCUGAUAGUCUUUGGCUGUCCGAGUUGUAGUCUGGAGAAGCGUCUUCCGCGUUGGACCGUGUACAAGUCUCCUGGAACGGAGCGUCAUAGAGGGUGAGAAUCCCGUCUUUGACACGGACUACCAGUGCUUUUGUGAUGCGCUCUCAAAGAGUCGAGUUGUUUGGGAAUGCAGCUCAAAAUGGGUGGUAAACUCCAUCUAAAGCUAAAUAUUGGCGAGAGACCGAUAGCGAACAAGUACCGUGAGGGAAAGAUGAAAAGCACUUUGGAAAGAGAGUUAAACAGUACGUGAAAUUGCUGAAAGGGAAACGCUUGAAGUCAGUCGCGUUUGCUAGGACUCAGCCUUGCCUCGGCUUGGUGCACUUCCUAGUAGACGGGCCAGCAUCACUUUUGGCUGCGGGAAAAAGAUCAGAGGAAUGUGGCACCUUCGGGUGUGUUAUAGCCUCUGGUUGUAUACCGUGGCCGGGAGUGAGGAUCUCAGCACGCCUUUAUGGCGGGGCUUCGGCCACCUUCGUGCUUAGGAUGCUGGCGUAAUGGCUUUAAACGACCCGUCUUGAAACACGGACCAAGGAGUCUAACAUGCCUGCGAGUGUUUGGGUGGAAAACCCGAGCGCGUAAUGAAAGUGAAAGUUGGGACCUCUGUCGUGGAGGGCACCGACGCCCGGACCAGACCUUCGGUGACGGAUCUGCGGUAGAGCAUGUAUGUUGGGACCCGAAAGAUGGUGAACUAUGCCUGAAUAGGGUGAAGCCAGAGGAAACUCUGGUGGAGGCUCGUAGCGAUUCUGACGUGCAAAUCGAUCGUCAAAUUUGGGUAUAGGGGGCGAAAGACUAAUCGAACCCAUCUAGUAGCUGGUUCCUGCCGAAG